AACGAACGCUGGCGGCAUGCCUAACACAUGCAAGUCGAACGAGACCCCUGACUUCGGUUGGCGGGUCUAGUGGCGCACGGGUGCGUAACGCGUGGGAAUCUGCCCUUGGGUUCGGAAUAACUCAGAGAAAUUUGAGCUAAUACCGGAUGAUGACGAAAGUCCAAAGAUUUAUCGCCCAGGGAUGAGCCCGCGUAAGAUUAGCUUGUUGGUGGGGUAAUGGCCCACCAAGGCGACGAUCUUUAGCUGGUCUGAGAGGAUGAUCAGCCACACUGGGACUGAGACACGGCCCAGACUCCUACGGGAGGCAGCAGUGGGGAAUAUUGGACAAUGGGCGCAAGCCUGAUCCAGCAAUGCCGCGUGAGUGAUGAAGGCCUUAGGGUUGUAAAGCUCUUUUACCAGGGAUGAUAAUGACAGUACCUGGAGAAUAAGCUCCGGCUAACUCCGUG
rnacentral:rRNA from 1 species